CCGUACGGGAGGCAGCAGUGGGGAAUAUUGGACAAUGGGCGAAAGCCUGAUCCAGCCAUGCCGCGUGUGUGAAGAAGGUCUUCGGAUUGUAAAGCACUUUAAGUUGGGAGGAAGGGCAGUUACCUAAUACGUGAUUGUUUUGACGUUACCGACAGAAUAAGCACCGGCUAACUCUGUGCCAGCAGCCGCGGUAAUACAGAGGGUGCAAGCGUUAAUCGGAAUUACUGGGCGUAAAGCGCGCGUAGGUGGUUUGUUAAGUUGGAUGUGAAAUCCCCGGGCUCAACCUGGGAACUGCAUUCAAAACUGACUGACUAGAGUAUGGUAGAGGGUGGUGGAAUUUCCUGUGUAGCGGUGAAAUGCGUAGAUAUAGGAAGGAACACCAGUGGCGAAGGCGACCACCUGGACUAAUACUGACACUGAGGUGCGAAAGCGUGGGGAGCAAACAGGAUUAGAUACCCCUGGUAGUCCACGCCGUAAACGAUGUCAACUAGCCGUUGGAAGCCUUGNGNUUAGUGUCGCNNCACGACAUAUAGACGCGNGGAGACGCGCGAGUAAACGUACAAGAAGUAGAGNGNGAGAGNGCGACGACGACGACGAGGGAGGAGG
rnacentral:rRNA from 1 species